rnacentral:rRNA from 1 species
UGAAGCUAGCGGCAGGCUUAACACAUGCAAGUCGAGGGGCAUCGGGAGUAGCAAUACUUGCCGGCGACCGGCGCAAGGUGCGUAACGCGUGAGCAACAUGCCCGUAUCAGGGGGGAUAAUCCAUGGAAACGUGGUCUAAUACCCCAUAGUAAUUAUGUAAGGCAUCUUAUAUAAUUUAAAGCUUUGGUGGAUACGGAUUGGCUCGCGUGACAUUAGCUAGAUGGUAAGGUAACAGCUUACCAUGGCUACGAUGUCUAGGGGUUCUGAGAGGAAGGCCCCCCACACUGGAACUGAGACACGGUCCAGACUCCUACGGGAGGCAGCAGUGAGGAAUAUUGGACAAUGGAUGGAAAUCUGAUCCAGCCAUGCCGCGUGCAGGAAAAGACGGCCCCAUGGGUUGUAAACUGCUUUUGUAUGGGAGCAAUAAGGGCUACGCGUAGUCCGAUGAGAGUACCAUACGAAUAAGCACCGGCUAACUCCGUGCCAGCAGCCGC